rnacentral:rRNA from 1 species
GACGAACGCUGGCGGCGUGCUUAACACAUGCAAGUCGAACGGAAAGGCCCUGCUUUUGUGGGGUGCUCGAGUGGCGAACGGGUGAGUAACACGUGAGUAACCUGCCCUUGACUUUGGGAUAACUUCAGGAAACUGGGGCUAAUACCGGAUAGGAGCUCCUGCUGCAUGGUGGGGGUUGGAUAGUUUCGGCGGUUGGGGAUGGACUCGCGGCUCAUCAGCUUGUUGGUGGGGUAGUGGCUUACCAAGGCUUUGACCGGUAGCCGGCCUGAGAGGGUGACCGGCCACAUUGGGACUGAGAUACGGCACAGACUCCUACGGGAGGCAGCAGUGGGGAAUAUUGCACAAUGGGCGGAAGCCUGAUGCAGCAACGCCGCGUGCGGGAUGACGGCCUUCGGGUUGUGAACCGCUUUCGCCUGUGACGAAGCGUGAGUGACGGUAAUGGGUAAAGAAGCACCGGCUAACUACGUG